GGGCUUUUGGCAGAAUUCUGAAUAAACAGCAUACAUCCAUGUGGGAGCAAUGAGGAGGAACUGUAGCAUCUGGUAUGACUUUAAAAAUAACUUCCUACUUAUAUAACUGAGAUUUCACUAAAGAUCAAUGAGAUUUUUCAAGUCUGAGACCUGAGGUUGGAUAGCAUGAAAUAGUUCCUUUGGAAGCUGUUGAUUCAUGUAGCAGUGCUAUUUUGAAAGAAAAACAUUCAUACCCAACAAGCAGAUGUUAACAGACCAUGGCCCUAGAGUCGUAACUCUAGGUUACUGAGAUCCAAGUUUGUGUUCUCAGCUUCAUUUACAAUCAUUAAGAGCCUUUUACUUUUAAUUACUUCUUUAUUGAUCUCAUAGCACACAUUUCUUCUAGUCUGUACAAAAUGUCAGCUUAAGUGGAACAGGCAGGACUGCGUUCACAAUUCACAAUCAAGCUAGCCUGCUUAGCUACAACACACAAUGGUGCCCCUGGUUCAUUGUUUCUGAAUGGCAAUGUUAUUCAUGAUGUUGUAUGCUUCUGAGAUAAAAAUCACUUUACUACUUUAACAGUUAAGCCUUGUGCUGCUUUUGAAAUAUGAUAUUGUAGAACUGUCUUUAGUUUUUCAACUCUGGGGAGCUGUGGAACGUGUUGAAAUCAAAACUUAUUUGUGGGGGCGUCUGGGUGGCUCAGUCGGUUAAGCGUCCGACUUCAGCUCAGGUCACGAUCUCACAGUCCGUGAGUUCGAGCCCCGCAUCGGGCUCUGGGCUGAUGGCUCAGAGCCUGGAGCCUGCUUCCGAUUCUGUGUCUCCCUCUCUCUCUGCCCCUCCCCCAUUCAUGCUCUGUCUCUCUCUGUCCCCAAAAUAAAUAAACGUUUAAAAAAAAAUUAAACAACAACAACAACAACAACAACAAAAAACUUAUUUGUGGCCAAUCCAAAAAAAAAAUUCAUCACAUUAUCUUAUAAACUUUCUUUGGAGGAUGUUUUUCUUCAACAAGAAAUAUGUCCCUAAGUAGAAAGCUCUUCCUGAAGAAUUCUGAGCUUUGCCACAUUAUAGCAAAUGUCUUACUAUCUCUGAUAAUUAAGAGUUUUCUAAAUAUUAGGUCAUAGAUCCCAGUGUGUAAUAAUGGAUGUUAAUCCUAGGUUCUUAUGCAAAACGUUUUUUAGGGGCACGAAUAGGAUUAACAAGUGGGUGCCCUUACUCAUUUCUUGACAAAUUAUAAGCUACUUCCAUGGCUUAUUUCUCCUGUGUUCCCUUUUCCAUUCUCUAUUCCCUAUGGCAUAUAAACCUGCUGCUCCUGUGAAAUGAAUGUGAGGUUCAGGGGAAACUGAAUUAUUGGAACCUAUGUAUAUUUUAACAAGAAAGGUUAGUAAAGGUCUACCUGCACAUACCAUCAAAAAGAAGAAAGAAAAAGAAGGCUGCAGGGAUUCCCAUCCCAUCUUUAUGGUCUGUCAUUCUGUCAAUUGGUCAUUAGCAGUAAAUUUUGCUCUUAUGGUUGUUUUUAAUAAUUCUUGUCUCUUUUGAGUUCUAGGAAAAUAAUUUGUGUAUCCUAAUAUUUCUUUGAAUUAUAUAAAUUUUAGUCAUUCCUCUACCCAAAGAAUCAAAUUACUGUGCUAAUAAAAACAGACUGCAUUUACUGAGACCACAGACUCUAUCUACUAUCUUGUGUUAUAAGAAACACUGCUGCUUUCCUAAAAUCAGAUUAAAUGUAAUAAAGAAUUUUUUUUUCAUGGGAAGGAAAUAGACCUUAAAAUUUUUAGAUAUGCAUUAUCAAUGCAGAAAAGAACAGGGAAAAGAAUCAAGGAAAACCUUUUGAUAAAAUACUGACAGGAGUAAACUUUAAAAACUUACACCUCUUUUAUUUUUUUAUUUUUAUUUUUAUUAAAAAAAAUUUUUUUAACGUUUAUUUAUUUUUGAGACAGAGAGAGACAGAGCAUGAACGGGGGAGGGGCAGAGAGAGAGGGAGACACAGAAUCUGAAGCGAGCUCCAGGCUCUGAGCCAUCAGCCCAGAGCCUGACGCAGGGCUCGAACUCACGGACCGCGAGAUCGUGACCUGAGCCGAAGUCGGACGCUUAACCGACUGAGCCACCCAGGCGCCUCUUACACCUCUUUUAGAUAUGUAUGCAUAUAUAAUUAUAUUUAGAUAUAAAUUCAAAUAUUUCAAUAAAAUUCAAAUAAUACCGGUUUGCUUUUUGGUCAUUUAUUAUAACCCUAAUGUGUGCACAGAACUCUGCUGGAGGAGCACAGAGUUAAAUCUGUGGGCCCACCAUGUGACAUUCAAGCCAGUGCCAAAAUUUAUGCAUUCUCCAAGUGACUAGCUGUGCAAAGUAUUUUUUGAUUUGGCAGAUUCCCUCCAAGUUCUCUUAGAACCUCGAUAAUAGCUAAAUGAUGGCAUAUAUCUCUUAGCCAUCUAUGAUGCUGACUCUGAAGUUAUUGUAAUGCAAACUAACUACUAGGAAAGGACUUGCAAUAACCUUGUCAUUAAAUUGCAUAUGAGAAAUGAAAUUCUCCAUGCUGACCCAAUCCCAAUCUUUGUACGGCCUUCUCUUUACUAAGUGGAUUGACUUCUUGCUCCAUCCUUUUAAUCAUUAUCUGCUCUAAAAGCAGCCCUCUCAGCCUUCCAAAGCAAUCUUCUACAUUCCCAAUGUAUGUAAGGCCUCCUGGGUUAUUUUGAAUCUGUUGCUUCCAUUUGUGCCUUUAUGGAGUGAAGAACUGGAGACACAGUGAAUUCCUUUUUUGUACCUUAUUGUUUGUAUAUUUUCUGUUUCUGUUGAAAAUUUGCCAUCCCAUCAAGUAAAAUGCAAUACAGUUUACAAAGACAAACCAAACCCACUAUAUUCACAUUUGGUCAUUUCUUUCUGAGUAUUUCUUCCAUCCUUCAAUUUGUAACAGUGUAUUUUGGUUGAGUCAGUGCUGAGACUCAUCAAUGCUGUUUGUAUGUGGUUUGACAAACUUUCUCCAGUACCUAUUCCAGAAGUAAUUUUUGUUUUUUCUUUGUGCUCUGCACAGGCAAAAUCUUUUUAACUGUCAUUGAAUUCUUGGGGAUGCUAUUGGCCACUAGAGAGAAAUAUUCCUUUGUGUAAAGAAAUGAUCUGUCAGGGUAGGCUAGACUCAUCAGCAAGCCCUUGUAGUGUUCAAUCCAUCACAUCCAGAAGGUUAGCAGGACCUGUAUGUAUUGGCAAGGAGGGGAAGGCAAAAAUGUGAAAGAACUGUGUUAUGGGGUCUUGAGUCUUUGUGUUUCUGUGCUAAAAAUAAACUAGGUGAGGAUCUCCAGGAAUGACUGAUAUAGUGAAAGGAGAUGCUUUCAAGUAGUGCUUUCAAAACUUCAGCAAGCAUGAGAAUUACCUGGAGAGCUUGUGAAAACAGAAUUCUGAGACUCUGAUGCUGUGAGUUUAGGGUAUGGCCAGAAAUUUUGAAUUUUAAUAAGCUCUCAGUUCAUCUGAUGCUGUAGGUCUAAGGACCACACUUUGAGCAAUUCUGUUCUAAAGCAGUGAUUCUUAAAUUUUACUGAGCAUCAGAAUCAACUAAGGUUUUUGUCUUUUCUCUGACUGACUUAUUUCACUUACUGUAAUACUCUCAAACUCCAUCCACAUCAUUGCAAAUGGCAAGGUUUCAUUCUUUUUUAUGACUAAUAUUCCAUUAUAUAUAUAUACAUAUAUAUAUGUAUGCAUAUAUAUAUGUAUAUAUAUGUAUGUAUGUAUGUAUGUAUGUAUAUACACACACCAUAUCUUUUUUAUCCAUUCAUCAGUCGAUGGACAUUUGGGCUCUUUCGAUAAUUGGCUAUUGUUGCUCCUAGUAAUGCUCCUGUAAAUAUUGGAUGCAUGUGUCCCUUUGAAUCAGUAUUUUUGUAUCCUUUGGGUAAAUACCUAGUAGUUAAAUUGCUGGAUCAUAGGGUAGUUCUCUUUUUUAACUUUUUGAGGGGCCUCCAUAUUGUUUUCCAGAGUAGCUACACCAGUUUACAUUCCCACCAACAGUGUAAGAGGGUAAGAGGAUUCCUCUUUCUCUGCAUCUUUGCCAAAACCUGUUGUUUCCUGUGUUGUUAAUUUUAGUCAUUCUGGUUUGUGUGAGGUGAUAUCUCAUUGUAGUUUUGAUGAAUUCAUUCACAUGUGGAAUUUAAGAACAAAGCAGGUGAACAUAGGAGAAAAAAGAGAGGCAAACCAGGAAACAGACCCUUAACUACAGAGAACAAACUAAGGGUUACUGGAGGGGAGGUGGUAGAGGGGAUGGGUUAAAUGAGUGAUGACUGUUAAGGAGGGCACUUGUGAUGAGCAGUGGGCAUUGUUUGUAAGUGAUGAGUCACUGAAUUCUACACCUGAAAUUAAUAUUAUACUGUAUGUUAACUAACUGGAAUUUAAAUAAAAACUUGAAGAAAAAAAUCAACUAAGGUUUAUUAAAAUGUAUAUUGCUGGGUCCUGCUCCCAGGGAUUCUGACUCAGUAGCCUGGGUGUCGGCCAAAGAAUGUGCAUUUCUAACAAGUUCCCUGGUCAUGCUGAUGCUGCUGGUGCCAGAUAACACUUUGAGAACCAUUGCUGUAAAGAAUGGAGGUUAAGGUGAGUCACCAGCACUGUGUAGGGAGUCCAUGGAGUCUAUUGGUAGGGGCUAUGAGGCAUAGCCAAUCUGCAGACAGACUGAGGUACUCUAAGCAGCAGCAAUGACAUUAAGGUCCUAGCAGUCCACAGGAUUAUUGGAGACCUUUGGAAACGUUGCAUUUUGCUCAAACCAAAUUUUAUUUGAAUCUCAAAGAGCAAGAUAACUUCACCUGAAACUUGGCUUUAAAAAUUUAGAAUAGAAAAAAUACUGUUCUAGGCAUGAUUCAUUAUAUGUAAGAAAAUCAUUACAUUCAUUAUUUGUAAGAAAAGGCAUAGGAAGAUUAGAGGCUGAGUGAGAAGCUUUCUUUACCAGAGUAGGUGACUAAACUGCUGUGCUGGGGACAAACUCUUACCUCACUUAGGCCUUUAUGAGGAAAGGAAAAGAAAGAAAGCAUUUGGUUGUGACAUUUUAAUGAGUACUUACAGUUAAAACAACCUAAAAGAACCCUAUCUUCCUUAUUUUUGAAGUGGAAUACUCACCUUUUUUUACCAAAAUGUAGAGACUGAAGUAUUUUCAGCAUCUCAGGAGAGUUAUUCUCAUAAUACUUCAAAGUAAAUCUGUUAGUAGUAAUCUAUUCACACAUUUCAGUUCAAUCUCAGAAAUGAAUGUCCCUAAGGGAACACUGUAUUCAAAUCCUCCACUGGAAUAAAACCUCUCUGUGUGAGAGGGAUAUUCUCAACAGGAGGCUGGGAAUCAAUGCAUCAUGAGAAAGCUUGAUUAGAAUAACAUGGUUGAUAGAAUUAAUGUGAUUCUAGUCACGGUAGAAUCAAGUGCCACACAUCCUCCUGAUAUUCUCUUGUGGCUUCUUAGGUGAGUCUUUCUUCCUCCCCAACUCCCUUUCCUCCCAUGCUGAAAAUUCUAGCCAACCUUGUGGAUGAAAAUAUAUGGGUUUCCUUAGGGAUGCUGGGGAAGAGAAAAGGUAAUUAAACAUUGGAUUUGAGCCUGGUGUAUUAUGAUUACAGUCACAGAUUUUAUCCACUGAGGGUUUUUAUGAAGUCAGACUCUAUCUUUCCCUUAGGCCAUGUUUUUCCUCUUGUGGGAAUCUUGGGGAGACUGAAAUGGUUGAGCACAAAUUGUUACUCCUUGCUGGAAAUAACUCAAAUUGCAUAUAUGCUUUAUCAACUACAAGUAAAUUAGGUCAUCUUCCUAUACAUGAAGAAAACACUUAUCUUCAUCAGUAGUAGCUUAUAGAAGAAGACAAUCACAACUGACCUUAUCUGUGAAAAUCCUUUAGGAUAUAGAAAAGACAUGCCAACAGUAGCUGAAAUAUGUUUACUUGAAGUCAAAAUUUCUUUCCCAAAUGUGGGCCUCUUCCUGCUAAGUCAGGAUUUGGAGUUUGGGAAAAUAGAAAGCUAAUAUCCUGCUUCUCAAACCAUGCCCAGAGAUGGUCACCUGAAUCAAGUACAUCACUAUUAAAGUGAUGGCAGUCCCACCUUUUGGUUCAUUAUUCUUUUGGAAGACAGUGAAUUUGAAAAACAUCACACUGAACUUCUUUUUAAUGACCAAAAAUGAAGAAGAUAAAUUUAGAUAAAUAUCAAGCAUCAGUCAGUGAAAAGAAGAUAGAGCAGUACCGAAUAAAAGUGAUAUGAUUUGCAUUGAAAACAGAGUUCAGCUCAACUCAACAAAUACAGUGAAUGUAUAUUACAUUCCAGGUACUGGUGCUACAAAAAUGAAUAAAACAUUGUUUCUGUUUUCAGUUAAUCCCAGUUAAGGGGCUGAGGGAACUGAUAUAAACAAAUAAAAUAUGCAGAAACAAGAGGUAGAAUGUAGUAGCAGAUAAUGGAUGUAGACAUUGAAGCUAGAUAGGCUUUGAUUAUUUACAGUCCCAGGUCUUGCUUUAAUUUUGUGGCUUUAAAUAGACUCUUUUACUUUUCCUAAAAAAUCUUUGUUUUAUCAUCUCUGGAGCAAAAUAGGCAUUCAAUAAAUGGGAACUAAUAAUAAUUAGAACUAUGUAUUGGUACAGACGUAAUAUAGCAGAGAGAAUGAUUUUGAGGGUCUGACCACGAAUGGCUUCAAUGUGGAGACUGUACUCCAAAAUGUUUUGAUACAUGAAUAGGAAUUUUCCAGGUAGAUAAUAUUUGUCAGUGGACUCGAGAUAGAGGAGAUAAUACUUCCAAAAGCAUAUGAGGUGGGAACUGCAAAAUAAGUUUAAUAUCAAUAUUAAACUUAAUUUUAUCAGUUAAAUGAAUGCUGUUGCAUUCACUAUUUAUAGAAAGCAACUAGAGCUGGGACCAGAGAGGAGACAGAGGCCAGUUCUUCCUCACAGCCUGGGCUCUGAUAAGAAGUUUGAUGACUUGAUCCUUUAGGUCAGAGAUUGAAGAUGUGCUUUUCUGUAAUUUUUUUUUCUGUUUCAGUUUUGUAUUUUUUGAUUAUGUCACUCAACAUUUAAAUAUAGAGAUAUUUCACUAAAAACCUCAGCUUUUUUCUGACUUAUCUUGGAAAUUUACCACGAGGACUCUGCAUUUGCUCAUUACAACAGCUGGUUGUGGCUGAGCGGAGGCUGCCCCCCUCAAGGGGCAUAUUCAGUCCUAAUGAGAAAUGAGGAAACUUGGAGAUUUUAAGUAGGUUGGUCAUGUGGCAGGAUAUGUCAUAGAACUGUCCUUGUUCUGCAGUUGAGGUAGAGGAGACUAGCACUUGAGAAGGUGUGACUGAACAUCACACCUUCCAGGGCUAGGUUAAUGGAAGAAGAACUUAUAAUGCUAUUCAGUUUGGUAGGAAGAUGUUUCUUUUUUUUUUUAAAGCAAAAUGAGGAUAAACAUUACUCUAGGAGAGGGGAUAUGAAUGCCCUAUAUAGACUUGGUGACUAUUAUGGGCUAGAGAAUAACCCUUGUAGAAUAAGAUCUCUGAUUUUCUUUAAGAGAUACCUCUUAAGAAAAACAAAAUAAAAAUAAAAUUAAGGUGCAAUGUAAAAUAGUCACUCCCAAAGUCCUCUCUCACCUCUUCUCAAAACUGGAAACUCCCCUUUUCCCCUUAACCAGCAGUGGAAGUGAAUAGAGAGAGAAUGUCUAGGACCGAUGCACAACUCACAACCAGCAACCCUCAUCAUACAACUUGGAGACCAUAAAGAUUUCCGAGACCUAAAAAGAGGCCAGAAGCCUGAUAACUGUUGGGUAAAAGUCCACUGUCUAAGAAGGGAGGGGGAAGUAGUAAAAACUCCAAGCACAGGGGAGUCAAGAAGAGGACAGCACAAGGAAGAGAGAGGAAGGGGUCCAUGAGGAGUCACUCUGCCAUUGGAGGGAACAUCCACGUGGAGACAUGCUGAAGUCUAGGAAGGGACCUUCAAGGAUGGUAAUUCAAUAAACUAGGGAUACAAAGCUAUCCCAUGUCUGCCCUGGCCCCACCUUCCCACUCAACACAAUUUGCAUUUUUAUCCUCUGAAACUUAAGUAAAGACCUGUCUAGAUCCUUGCUGUGCCAUGUAUUUAGGUUCACCAGU
rnacentral:lncRNA from 1 species